CUCAACAUCAUGGAGUAUACAGUGAAUUAUAGCGUGAUAAAGUUAUAAUUUUCACUAAAUUUUCAACUGCACACACUUACCAGUGAACUGUGUGUAAAUCAUCAACUGCCUGUGUAUCAGCUGAUUUCUACACCAGCUUUACAUCCUGAGCAGAAGGUGAGUGCUCUGAAGUAUUUACCUCUCUUUUCAAGAACACCACUGAGCACAUCUUAAUCAGGGGACAGGGACACAUUUCUCUUCAUGAACAUGUGUGUGUUAAUGAAUGGUGGAGAUGGGGCCAAAUUUUGCAGCAAUCCUUAAUAGCAAAACCAAAUAAUUGGUUUUAAUACACAGCAUUACUAAAAGCUUGCAUUCUAUGAAAUUUUGUGUGCGUGCCUGCCUGCGUGUGUCAAACUGAUGUCAUAUGAUGUCAAACAUCAUGAAGUGAUAUUAACUUGCUUAUAAACCCAUAUGUGGAUUUAUAUUACAGAGAUGCCAUGGAGCUGCAUAGUAACACCAUGAAGUCUUUUUACUAGACACUUAUAAUAACAUGUCUUUAUUUCUCCCCUGUUGUAGAUUGUCGUGGAGAGGACGGACCCUUGAUGCUCUGCCUUUUUGCACCAACAAUACAUACAUGUAUUUUAUUAAUUUGUAAAUAAAGUCUUUAAUAUAA